CCUGGGUUGCAGGCUUGAUCCUCAGUAGGGGCCAUGCUGGCGGUAGCCAAGCAAUGAUUCUCAUCAUUGAUGUUUCUCUCCCUUUCCUUCCUCUCUGAAUAUAUAUGUCAUGCAGGCAGAAAAUGAGGCAACUGAUCUCAACCACUAAAUUGCUAGAUUUUAUGGGGAAGGGACCCCUUUGUAUAUCAGAGACAUGCUGGAGGAGCUGCCCAGGCUAGGAACCCAAUUACAGGGCCUUGUGAGGACAAGAGGGCCAGCUUGCCCAGGCGAUACACACAGGUCCAGCCAGCAUCUGCUGCUACAGCCAGCUGCUAGACCCUUGCCUGCAGACUGACCCCUGUAGUUUCUGAAGCAACCAGGAGUGGUUUAAGAGGCAAGGGAAUCCCUUUGCCCUGUGUCAUAUCCUCUCCCCCGGGCAGGGCCCUGCAGGAGCCUGGAGUUUCCAGGUCAGGGGGUCAGCAAGCGACUGUUAUGGGGAACCAGGAAGACCCCAGGGAGGACAGAGUAAGAAAGAUAGGAUGAGGGUGGGGGUGGGGAGAAGGGGAAACAGAGCAGGUCCAGCUCCAGAGAGAGUGAGGACAAGACAUAGAGCUCAUACAAAGAGCCCCGGGCCUUGGCUGGCUCUGAACUCCCUAAAGCAUCUUUCCCUCUGGGGCCCCCUGCUCCUGCCCUGCUCCCAGAGGAGCCCCACACCCUGCUAACUGGUUAGGGCCUCCCAGCCUUCCCACACAGCGGGCGGCCCAGGGGCUUUGGGCGCGCCCAGGUUCCUCGAGGGUCUCUCACCUCUUGCUGUCUUUCCUGUUCAUGCUUCCUGGAGUGGGGCUGGAAGGGGUCUUGCAAGAGUCUGGCUCAGCUUCUCCUCUUUCACCAAUGCUCCAGCUUCUUAGCCCUUUGGGAGCUGGGUCCUCCCCUAGUGCUGGGGAAGGAAAGAGGAACUGCCCCUCCCCACCCAGGCCCAGGCCAGGGGGAAGGAAGAGGCUGGGGAGAGACCAAAGGUUCCCCCUCCCCCCACAUGGGGAUCCCUACAAGCUGAGGUUUCCGGUGCUGCUGGACCCCACCCCCAAUCACCAGUGGGCUUUCUAUCUCCCUCAUCUUUCUGUCUCUAGACCCGUGAUUCUCUGUUCUGUCAUUUUCAUACUUCAAUAAAAGCAUUUAUGUAAAAUACACUCAAAAUAAGAAUUUAUAUUUCUAUAAGGACAUAUUCAUAUAAAGAAUGCACAAAGCAUUAAAUGGAAAGUUACAGACAUAAUAUUUUGUAUAUUUCUUCUUAAGUUUCUUUUAUUCCUAGUUUAGUCUUCACUUUAUUACCUUCAUUGUAACAAAGCUUUAUAUAGCGUAGUGUCUACUGUAUACCACACACUGUUCUAAAGGCUUUAAAAAUAGUAACUCAUAUUUAUUUAUU